rnacentral:rRNA from 1 species
UACGAAGGGGGCUAGCGUUGUUCGGAAUCACUGGGCGUAAAGCGCACGUAGGCGGAUUGUUAAGUCGGGGGUGAAAUCCUGGAGCUCAACUCCAGAACUGCCUUCGAUACUGAAGAGCUUGAGUCCGGGAGAGGUGAGUGGAACUGCGAGUGUAGAGGUGAAAUUCGUAGAUAUUCGCAAGAACACCAGUGGCGAAGGCGGCUCACUGGCCCGGUACUGACGCUGAGGUGCGAAAGCGUGGGGAGCAAACAGG